rnacentral:lncRNA from 1 species
AGAAAAAGUACUAGUAUACAUUAAACAUUUUUUUUUCUGCUAUUUGGUCGGAUUGUUGUCUCUUCAACAAUUUCCUGUUUUCACUUUAUUAGUUUUGGUAAAGUAUGCUAUUCUGCUUGAUUGUUGUGGUACAUGUGCAUACCUGUAACAAUUUACCCGAGUAGCUGCUAUGACCCAUUAUAAGGUGAAAUAUCUUUUUAAAAAAUG